AUGCCGACCUGGGUUGGACGGUCCCCAACGAGUAACUUUAAUUUCCUCCCUGGUCGGAUAUGGAAACGCCUCAACGGGUGUAGUGAUCGACCUUUGUCAAGGGCCGGUAAGGAGGUUCUGUUGAAGUCAGUGGCUCAGGCCAUUCCAACGUAUGUCAUGAGUUGCUUCCAGAUUCCAUUAAGUAUAUGUGAGAAGAUGAGACAACCAAUAUCUAAUUUCUGGUGGGGUAUUGAAGAUGGAAAGAAAAAGUUACAUUGGAGAUCAUGGGAUUGGUUAUCAUCACCAAAGUAUGUGGGCGGAUUGGGAUUCCGAGACAUGGCCAUUUUUAAUCAAGCAAUGCUUGGAAAACAAUGUUGGAGGUUGUUGACCGAGCCAAACUCGUUGUGCGCACAAGUACUUAGAGGUCGAUAUUAUCCAAAUGGGGACUUCUGGACAGCUCAGUGCCCAAGAUCAUCAUCAUAUGUUUGGCGCAGCAUUAUGCAUGGGAAAAAGCUGAUCCGGAAAGGUAUACUAUGGAGAGUAGGUAAUGGUAAAGGAUCAUCAUCAAAACAAGAUUAUUUGGAGAAGGUGUGGAAGAGACUUUGGGCCAUUCAGUGCCCUAACAAGAUGAAGAUCAUGCUCUGGAGAAUAGCACACAACUGCUUACCUACAGGCUCUCAACUUCAGACACGAUCGAUACCCACAAGGAACAACUAUCGCAAUGGCGAGGCACUAGUUAAUCCUCUUCGCGUGGUGGGGAAAAUCAAGGCUUAUAUUGAAUUCAUUACAGAGUAUAAGAUCAGCCCAACAGGUUUCAACAGACGUGAGACCUUUACAUCAACCCAAAAAUGGUCUCCGCCGCCGGAAGGUUGGUUGCUGAUCAAUGUAGAUGCUGCGAUUUUCUCCCACUCAGGACGGGCUGGCUAUGGAGUUGUAGUGCGAGACCAUCGAGGGACACUUUUGUCUGCAUACCGAGGUUCCUAUAUUGAUCAUAUUCAAAACCCAGAAGCGGCUGAAGCUAUUGCUGUUCGUCAAGCGCUCAUCGCUGCUGAAGAUGCUGGUUUUAAUAAGAUUCAGGUGGUCUCCGAUUGCUUGUCGCUGAUGAACAAGGUUCGGGAUAGGAGUUUCGACAGGUCCCCUUCAGGUGCCAUAGUCCAGGAUAUUAAAAGUAGGGCCACAAAGUUCUUAUCUUGUGAUUUUAUCCAUGUCAAACGUGGUUGUAAUGAGGCAGCUCAUGUACUGGCAAAAUCUGCAGAAUUUGAUGUUGGGUCGUGUUGGUCUAGCGAGCCACCUGAUCAAAUCAGGGCCAUUAUUUGUAAUGAACAUAUUUCUAAGUGA
rnacentral:rRNA from 1 species